rnacentral:rRNA from 1 species
GAUGAACGCUAGCGGCAGGCCUAACACAUGCAAGUCGAGGGGUAGAAGUUGCUUGCAACUUUGAGACCGGCGCACGGGUGCGUAACGCGUAUGCAAUCUACCUUGUACAGGGGGAUAGCCCAGAGAAAUUUGGAUUAAUACCCCAUAGUGUAAUGAAGUGGCAUCACUUUAUUACUAAAGUUCCAACGGUACAAGAUGAGCAUGCGUCCAAUUAGCUAGUUGGUGUGGUAACGGCAUACCAAGGCUACGAUAGGUAGGGGUCCUGAGAGGGAGAUCCCCCACACUGGUACUGAGACACGGACCAGACUCCUACGGGAGGCAGCAGUGAGGAAUAUUGGUCAAUGGACGCAAGUCUGAACCAGCCAUGCCGCGUGCAGGAAGACGGUCCUAUGGAUUGUAAACUGCUUUUGUACGGGAAGAAACACUCCUACGUGUAGGAGCUUGACGGUACCGUAAGAAUAAGGAUCGGCUAACUCCGUGCCAGCCGCCGCAGUAACAC